GAAUAGGACUCUGUGGUGGCUGACAUGUUGUUGCUGAGUCAGUAUAGUUGUGAGAACUGAGCCUGAAAAAGGGGCUUUACAAGACCUUUUUGUGUGGCUUGUUAUAGCCAGCCCAUUGGCUCUCCUGCCAUUUCACUAAUGUACAUCAGAUUUCACAGUGCAAAAUCAAAACUCGGACUACUACAGUUAGUUCAUUAAUCAGCACCAGGACAUCCAGAGAGAACAACUCCAAAGUCUACUAGAAUGUAUGGAAUGUAGCAGAGACACAGAAUCCCUCUUCUCUCUCUUCAACUGGACUCCUGGAGCUCAGCCUGGUGUUUGGCUGUGAAUCUCCACAGCUGCUUCUAUCAGUUUCUGGAGAAAGGCUCUAUCAUGACAGUUUGGAUAUUCACUGAUCUGAUUACUGGGAUAAGCCAGUUCAGAUCCCUGAACCUUAAGGGAAGGACUGGGUGCUUCAAAAUUUCUCAUUCUCUGCACGUUGCCCAGUUGUGAGUCUCUGUGAUAAUUACCAUCUACUAUAAGAAAAAGCUUCU